CCUACGGGAGGCAGCAGUGGGGAAUAUUGCUCAAUGGGCGAAACCCUGAUGCAGCAAUGCCGCGUGAGUGAUGACGGCCUUCGGGUUGUAAAGCUCUUUUUUCAGGGACGAUAAUGACGGUACCUGAGGAUGACGCCACGGCUAACUCCGUGCCAGCAGCCUCGGUACUACGCAGGUGGCGCGCGUUGUCCGGAUUUACUGGGCGUAAAGGGAGCGUAGGGGGACUUUUAAGUGAGAUGUGAAAUACUCGGGUUCAAGUUGAGUGCUGCCUUUCAAACUGGAAGGCUAGCGUGCAGGUGAGGAGAAUGGAAUGCAUGGUGUAGCGGUGAAAUGCGUAGAGAUUAGGAAGAACACCAGUUGCGAAGGCGAUUCUCUGGACUGUAACUGACGCUGAGGCUCGAAAGCGUGGGGAGCAAACAGGAUUAGAUACCCUUGUAGUC
rnacentral:rRNA from 1 species